GAUGAACGCUGACAGAAUGCUUAACACAUGCAAGUCGAUGGGGAAGUGGUGCUUGCACCAUGGUAACCAUGGCGGACGGGUGAGUAACGCGUAAGGAACUUACCUGCGGGACCGGGAUAACAGCAGGAAACUGCUGACAAGACCGGAUAAGGUCAUUAAGCUGCAUAGCUUAGUGAUGAAAGGAGACGCCUGCGGAGAGCCUUGCGUCCUAUUAGCUAGUUGGAGGGGUAACGGCCCACCAAGGCGAAGAUAGGUAGCCGGCCUGAGAGGGUGGACGGCCACAAGGGGACUGAGAUACGGCCCUUACUCCUACGGGAGGCGGCAGUGGGGAAUAUUGGACAAUGGGGGCAACCUUGAUCCAGCAAUUCUGUGUGCACGAAGACGGUUUUCGGAUUGUAAAGUGCUUUCAGCAGGGAAGAAGGAAGUGACGGUACCUGCAGAAGAAGCGACGGCUAAAUACGUG
rnacentral:rRNA from 1 species